rnacentral:rRNA from 1 species
AAUAGAUACCCCGGUAGUCCACGCCGUAAACGAUGAGUGCUAAGUGUUGGGGGGUUUCCGCCCCUCAGUGCUGCAGCUAACGCAUUAAGCACUCCGCCUGGGGAGUACGGUCGCAAGACUGAAACUCAAAGGAAUUGACGGGGGCCCGCACAAGCGGUGGAGCAUGUGGUUUAAUUCGAAGCAACGCGAAGAACCUUACCAGGUCUUGACAUCCCGGUGACCACUAUGGAGACAUAGUUUCCCCUUCGGGGGCAACGGUGACAGGUGGUGCAUGGUUGUCGUCAGCUCGUGUCGUGAGAUGUUGGGUUAAGUCCCGCAACGAGCGCAACCCUUAUUCUUAGUUGCCAUCAUUCAGUUGGGCACUCUAAGGAGACUGCCGGUGAUAAACCGGAGGAAGGUGGGGAUGACGUCAAAUCAUCAUGCCCCUUAUGACCUGGGCUACACACGUGCUACAAUGGACGGUACAAACGGUUGCCAACCCGCGAGGGGAGCUAAUCCGAUAAAACCGUUCUCAGUUCGGAUUGUAGGCUGCAACUCGCCUACAUGAA